GGCUUAGGAUGGUGCAAAUU
rnacentral:miRNA from 1 species